rnacentral:lncRNA from 1 species
GUAAAACAGAAGAUGAAUUAAUCACUUAAACCAAAUCCUCUUGGCUACAGAGUGUUCCAGGAGGAAGAUGUCGCCAUGGUAAACAGUGGUGUCUGCGUGGACUUGACCUCACCGUUCCCCUGUUGAAGAACUCACUGACAAAAUCCCACUGGAAACUUCCCCUUUGGCCACACCUAGACCUGCCCUGUAUAUCAGAACUGGAAUCAGGGAUGGAUUCUGGGAAAAGCACCUGCCUGGCAUGCAUGGGGCCCUGGGUACCCACCAGCCCUGCAGGAAACAACCCCUGGAAUUUAAAAAUCGAGUGUGGACAUUUGGGGCAGGAGAGGAAAGAGCCUGGCCUGGGUGGCAGAGUGAGCCAGGGAGCAGUCAGCCCACUGAAACUGACUCACUCCAACCCCAAGCCUGGACGCUCCAAACCCUCCGCCUGCUCUGCCACCCACCUUCUUGCUGCCAAGGAAUCCGCUUUGUUUCUGGCCCACCUUCGCAGGAGCCAAGCCAGCGAGAGGGCUGGGCUGCGCCCGUCUGCCC